rnacentral:rRNA from 1 species
UAAAAAGUAUUAGAGGCACUGCCUGCCCGGUGACUUCAGUUUAACGGCCGCGGUAUCCUGACCGUGCAAAGGUAGCAUAAUCACUUGUUCCCUAAAUAGGGACUAGUAUGAAUGGCCUAACGAGGGUUUCACUGUCUCUUACUUCCAAUCAGUGAAAUUGAUCUUCCCGUGAAGAAGCGGGAAUGAAAAAAUUAGACGAGAAGACCCUAUGGAGCUUUAAUUAACCAGCCCAUCCUUAAUCAUAUAACAUCUACAAGAGCUAACCACCCAAUAACUGAGCUGGCAAUUUGGGUUGGGGUGACCUCGGAAUAAAAAGUAACUUCCGAAGAAAAAAAACAAGACCUACAAGUCAAAAAUACUUCUCCUAUUGAUCCGUUCAUAACGACCAACGAAACAAGUUACCCUAGGGAUAACAGCGCAAUCCUAUUUAAGAGUCCAUAUCGACAAUUAGGGUUUACGACCUCGAUGUUGGAUCAGGACAUCCCAAUGGUGCAAAAGCUAUUAAUGUGUUCGUUUGUUCAAC